UCACGUAUUCACAUUGACAUUACACAUCCAUAUUAUCUGAUCAAAUUCAUACUAUGGUUUCGGAACUGUUUUCGGGGGGAAACGCAAUCUUUCAGAAUGAUAAUGCACCAAUUCACAUAGCUAAAGUUGUUACUGAAUGGCACGAGGAAC